AUUGAACGCUGGCGGCAGGCCUAACACAUGCAAGUCGAACGAGUGGCGGACGGGUGAGUAAUGUCUGGGAACCUGCCUGAUGGAGGGGGAUAACUACUGGAAACGGUAGCUAAUCCCGCAUACCAUCAGAUGUGCCCAGAUGGGAUUAGCUAGUUGGGGGGGGAACGGCUCACCCAGGCGACGACCCCUAGCUGGUCUGAGAGGAGGACCAGCCACACGGGAACUGAGACACGGUCCAGACUCCUACGGGAGGCAGCAGUGGGGAAUAUUGCACAAUGGGCGCAAGCCUGAUCCAGCCAUGCCGCGUGUGUGAAGAAGGUCUUCGGAUUGUAAAGCACUUUAAGUUGGGAGGCGUUACCAACAGAAUAAGCACCGGCUAACUUCGUGCCAGCAGCCGCGGUAAUUC
rnacentral:rRNA from 1 species